CUUUUAUCCCAGUCGUGUGUAUGGAGUGGAGCUGCACCUGGUCGGCAUCAGUUCCCAUUCAGACCUGUAUGCGCCCAGCAGUGUUGUGACGGCUUGUGCACAACCUCAUCUGAUGUGCACCCCCAACCCAUGGAAAAUGUAUGGAUCCGUUUGGAAAAAAACUACAACACAGAUGUGAACAGAGCCUUAACAGGAUGCAUGAACGUGAUGUGAGCCUAGCUCUGCUCGGAACACCUGUUUUCCUGCCCGUCACCACACAGCUUUCUUUCAUUUCUGACCUAGUACAAGAUGUACCUCGUCUGCAUGAUAUCAGUAACACAAUAAUAAAUAGCUUCUUUCUACAUU